rnacentral:rRNA from 1 species
GGGAAUAUUGCACAAUGGGCGAAAGCCUGAUGCAGCGACGCCGCGUGAGGGAUGACGGCCUUCGGGUUGUAAACCUCUUUCAGCACGGAAGAAGCGAAAGUGACGGUACGUGCAGAAGAAGCGCCGGCUAACUCCGUGCCAGCAGCCGCGGUAAUACGUAGGGCGCAAGCGUUGUCCGGAAUUAUUGGGCGUAAAGAGCUCGUAGGCGGUUUGUCGCGUCUGCUGUGAAAGCCCGGGGCUUAACCCCGUGGUGUGCAGUGGGUACGGGUAGACUAGAGUGCAGUAGGGGAGACUGGAAUUCCUGGUGUAGCGGUGAAAUGCGCAGAUAUCAGGAGGAACACCGAUGGCGAAGGCAGGUCUCUGGGCUGUUACUGACGCUGAGGAGCGAAAGCAUGGGGAGCGAACAGG